AGAGAUGUGUGAUGACGCAUAUCAAUAAGCGGAGGAAAAGAAACUAACUAGGAUUCCCUUAGUAACGGCGAGUGAAGCGGGAAGAGCUCAAAUUUGAAAUCUUCAAGGUUCUACCUUGACGGAUUGUAGUUUAUAAGAAGUGUUUUCUGUUAGUGGAGUUGGCUAAAAGUUCUUUGGAAUAGGACAUCAUAGAGGGUGAGAAUCCCGUAUUUGACCAUUAUUUCCAGCUGUGUGAUACACUUUCAAAGAGUCGGAUUGUUUGGGAAUGCAGUCCAAAAUGGGUGGUAAAUUUCAUCUAAAGCUAAAUACUGGCGAGAGACCGAUAGCGAACAAGUACCGUGAGGGAAAGAUGAAAAGAACUUUGAAAAGAGAGUUAAACAGUACGUGAAAUUGUCAAAAGGGAAGCGUUUGACACCAGUGUUGUUUUUCCGAAAAUCAAUUACGAAUACUUUUAUUUUUGAGAAGUUAUGACUUCAUCGGCUUGCUUCUCUCUUUAUGAAACUUUCUUAAUGCACUUUUCGGUUAACAAGUCAACAUCAAUUUCUUUUGUUGUAAAAGGGUAUGAGGAAGGUGGCUUUCUUUUCGGAGAAAGUGUUUAUAGCCUUGUGCCUCUGCAAUCGGAGAGAUUGAGGUCUGCAGCGUAGAUCCUUCGGGGUUAGAUACGUUUGUGCUAAGUUAUAGCUUUUCAUAGACAACUUGUUGACUAUGUUUAGUCUUGUAGCUUACUCGCUGACGCUAUUUUACCUACGCUUAGGAUGUUGAGUAGCGACAUACGCAC
rnacentral:rRNA from 1 species